rnacentral:rRNA from 1 species
GGUUAAGUUAGAAAGGGCGCACGGUGGAUGCCUUGGCACUAGGAGCCGAUGAAGGACGGGACGAACACCGAUAUGCUUCGGGGAGCUGUAAGCAAGCUUUGAUCCGGAGAUUUCCGAAUGGGGAAACCCACCACUCGUAAUGGAGUGGUAUCCAUAUCUGAAUACAUAGGAUAUGAGAAGGCAGACCCGGGGAACUGAAACAUCUAAGUACCCGGAGGAAGAGAAAGCAAAUGCGAUUCCCUGAGUAGCGGCGAGCGAAACGGGAUCAGCCCAAACCAAGAGGCUUGCCUCUUGGGGUUGUAGGACACUCUGUACGGAGUUACAAAGGAACGAGGUAGAUGAAGAGGUCUGGAAAGGCCCGCCAUAGGAGGUAACAGCCCUGUAGUCAAAACUUCGUUCUCUCCUGAGUGGAUCCUGAGUACGGCGGAACACGUGAAAUUCCGUCGGAAUCCGGGAGGACCAUCUCCCAAGGCUAAAUACUCCCUAGUGACCGAUAGUGAACCAGUACCGUGAGGGAAAGGUGAAAAGCACCCCGGAAGGGGAGUGAAAGAGAUCCUGAAACCGUGUGCCUACAAGUAGUCAGAGCCCGUUAACGGGUGAUGGCGUGCCUUUUGUAGAAUGAACCGGCGAGUUACGAUCCCGUGCAAGGUUAAGCAGAAGAUGCGGAGCCGCAGCGAAAGCGAGUCUGAAUAGGGCGAAUUGAGUACGUGGUCGUAGACCCGAAACCAGGUGAUCUACCCAUGUCCAGGGUGAAGUUCAGGUAACACUGAAUGGAGGCCCGAACCCACGCACGUUGAAAAGUGCGGGGAUGAGGUGUGGGUAGGGGUGAAAUGCCAAUCGAACCUGGAGAUAGCUGGUUCUCUCCGAAAUAGCUUUAGGGCUAGCCUCAAGGUAAGAGUCUCGGAGGUAGAGCACUGAUUGGACUAGGGGCCCCUACCGGGUUACCGAAUUCAGUCAAACUCCGAAUGCCGAUGACUUAUCCUUGGGAGUCAGACUGCGAGUGAUAAGAUCCGUAGUCGAAAGGGAAACAGCCCAGACCGCCAGCUAAGGUCCCAAAGUAUACGUUAAGUGGAAAAGGAUGUGGAGUUGCUUAGACAACCAGGAUGUUGGCUUAGAAGCAGCCACCAUUUAAAGAGUGCGUAAUAGCUCACUGGUCGAGUGACUCUGCGCCGAAAAUGUACCGGGGCUAAACGUAUCACCGAAGCUGCGGACUGUUCUUCGAACAGUGGUAGGAGAGCGUUCUAAGGGCUGUGAAGCAAGACCGGAAGGACUUGUGGAGCGCUUAGAAGUGAGAAUGCCGGUAUGAGUAGCGAAAGAGGGGUGAGAAUCCCCUCCACCGAAUGCCUAAGGUUUCCUGAGGAAGGCUCGUCCGCUCAGGGUUAGUCGGGACCUAAGCCGAGGCCGAAAGGCGUAGGCGAUGGAUAACAGGUUGAUAUUCCUGUACCACCUCCUCACCAUUUGAGCAAUGGGGGGACGCAGGAGGAUAGGGUAAGCGCGGUAUUGGAUAUCCGCGUCCAAGCAGUUAGGCUGGGAAAUAGGCAAAUCCGUUUCCCGUGAAGGCUGAGCUGUGAUGGCGAGCGAAUUAUAGUAGCGAAGUUCCUGAUUCCACACUGCCAAGAAAAGCCUCUAGCGAGGUGAGAGGUGCCCGUACCGCAAACCGACACAGGUAGGCGAGGAGAGAAUCCUAAGGUGAUCGAGAGAACUCUCGUUAAGGAACUCGGCAAAAUGACCCCGUAACUUCGGGAGAAGGGGUGCUCUGUUAGGGUGCAAGCCCGAGAGAGCCGCAGUGAAUAGGCCCAGGCGACUGUUUAGCAAAAACACAGGUCUCUGCGAAGCCGUAAGGCGAAGUAUAGGGGCUGACGCCUGCCCGGUGCUGGAAGGUUAAGAGGAGCGCUUAGCGUAAGCGAAGGUGCGAAUUGAAGCCCCAGUAAACGGCGGCCGUAACUAUAACGGUCCUAAGGUAGCGAAAUUCCUUGUCGGGUAAGUUCCGACCCGCACGAAAGGCGCAACGAUCUGGGCACUGUCUCAACGAGAGACUCGGUGAAAUUAUAGUACCUGUGAAGAUGCAGGUUACCCGCGACAGGACGGAAAGACCCCGUGGAGCUUUACUGCAGCCUGAUAUUGAAUGUUGGUACAGCUUGUACAGGAUAGGUAGGAGCCUUGGAAACCGGAGCGCCAGCUUCGGUGGAGGCAUCGGUGGGAUACUACCCUGGCUGUAUUGACCUUCUAACCCGCCGCCCUUAUCGGGCGGGGAGACAGUGUCAGGUGGGCAGUUUGACUGGGGCGGUCGCCUCCUAAAAGGUAACGGAGGCGCCCAAAGGUUCCCUCAGAAUGGUUGGAAAUCAUUCGCAGAGUGUAAAGGCACAAGGGAGCUUGACUGCGAGACCUACAAGUCGAGCAGGGACGAAAGUCGGGCUUAGUGAUCCGGUGGUUCCGCAUGGAAGGGCCAUCGCUCAACGGAUAAAAGCUACCCCGGGGAUAACAGGCUUAUCUCCCCCAAGAGUCCACAUCGACGGGGAGGUUUGGCACCUCGAUGUCGGCUCAUCGCAUCCUGGGGCUGUAGUCGGUCCCAAGGGUUGGGCUGUUCGCCCAUUAAAGCGGUACGCGAGCUGGGUUCAGAACGUCGUGAGACAGUUCGGUCCCUAUCCGUCGCGGGCGCAGGAAAUUUGAGAGGAGCUGUCCUUAGUACGAGAGGACCGGGAUGGACGCACCGCUGGUGUACCAGUUGUUCUGCCAAGGGCAUCGCUGGGUAGCUAUGUGCGGACGGGAUAAGUGCUGAAAGCAUCUAAGCAUGAAGCCCCCCUCAAGAUGAGAUUUCCCAUUCCGCAAGGAAGUAAGAUCCCUGAAAGAUGAUCAGGUUGAUAGGUCUGAGGUGGAAGUGUGGUGACACAUGGAGCUGACAGAUACUAAUCGAUCGAGGACUUAACCAA